CUGGCGGCGUGCUUAACACAUGCAAGUCGAGCGGUAAGGCCCUUCGGGGUACACGAGCGGCGAACGGGUGAGUAACACGUGAGCAACCUGCCCCUGACUCUGGGAUAAGCGGUGGAAACGCCGUCUAAUACCGGAUACGACCUUCCACCUCAUGGUGGAGGGUGGAAAGUUUUUUCGGUCAGGGAUGGGCUCGCGGCCUAUCAGCUUGUUGGUGGGGUAACGGCCUACCAAGGCGAUUACGGGUAGCCGGCCUGAGAGGGCGACCGGCCACACUGGGACUGAGACACGGCCCAGACUCCUGCGGGAGGCAGCAGUGGGGAAUAUUGCGCAAUGGGCGAAAGCCUGACGCAGCGACGCCGCGUGGGGGAUGACGGCCUUCGGGUUGUAAACCUCUUUUACCACCAACGCAGGCUCCGGGUUCUCUCGGGGUUGACGGUAGGUGGGGAAUAAGGACCGGCUAACUACGUGCCAGCAGCCGCGGUAAUACGUAGGGUCCGAGCGUUGUCCGGAAUUAUUGGGCGUAAAGAGCUCGUAGGCGGCGUGUCGCGUCUGCUGUGAAAGACCGGGGCUUAACUCCGGUUCUGCAGUGGAUACGGGCAUGCUAGAGGUAGGUAGGGGAGACUGGAAUUCCUGGUGUAGCGGUGAAAUGCGCAGAUAUCAGGAGGAACACCGGUGGCGAAGGCGGGUCUCUGGGCCUUACCUGACGCUGAGGAGCGAAAGCAUGGGGAGCGAACAGGAUUAGAUACCCUGGUAGUCCAUGCCGUAAACGUUGGGCGCUAGGUGUGGGGACUUUCCACGGUUUCCGCGCCGUAGCUAACGCAUUAAGCGCCCCGCCUGGGGAGUACGGCCGCAAGGCUAAAACUCAAAGGAAUUGACGGGGGCCCGCACAAGCGGCGGAGCAUGUUGCUUAAUUCGACGCAACGCGAAGAACCUUACCAAGGUUU
rnacentral:rRNA from 1 species